rnacentral:rRNA from 1 species
CDSUGGGGAAUAUUGCACAAUGGGCGCAAGCCUGAUGCAGCCAUGCCGCGUGUAUGAAGAAGGCCUUCGGGUUGUAAAGUAUUUUCAGCGAGGAGGAAGGCAUUAAGGUUAAUAACCUUAGUGAUUGACGUUACUCGCAGAAGAAGCACUGGCUAACUCCGUGCCAGCAGCCGCGGUAAUACGGAGGGUGCAAGCGUUAAUCGGAAUUACUGGGCGUAAAGCGCACGCAGGCGGUUGAUUAAGUCAGAUGUGAAAUCCCCGAGCUUAACUUGGGAACUGCAUUUGAAACUGGUCAGCUAGAGUCUUGUAGAGGGGGGUAGAAUUCCAGGUGUAGCGGUGAAAUGCGUAGAGAUCUGGAGGAAUACCGGUGGCGAAGGCGGCCCCCUGGACAAAGACUGACGCUCAGGUGCGAAAGCGUGGGGAGCAAACAGGA